UACGAAGGGGGCUAGCGUUGUUCGGAAUUACUGGGCGUAAAGCGUGCGCAGGCGGCUUCUCAAGUCAGGGGUGAAAGCCCAGAGCUCAACUCUGGAAUUGCCUUUGAGACUGAGUGGCUUGAGUACGAGAGAGGUGAGUGGAAUUCCCAGUGUAGAGGUGAAAUUCGUAGAUAUUGGGAAGAACACCGGUGGCGAAGGCGGUCUGCUGGGCAGUAGCUGGACACUGAGGCGCGACAGCGUGGGGAGCAAACAGG
rnacentral:rRNA from 1 species